rnacentral:lncRNA from 1 species
UCUUUCUAGCCCAGAGACACCAGACUCCAGACUCAGGCUUUGUCUGGGGUGGAGGUUCCUUCAGGUCCCUGGUCACGGAGGGUAUUGGCAUAAAGGUACUGGUGACUGUGAGGGCUCUGAAUAAUGCCAGCUGAUCUUUGCCAGCGGUGGCACCCACUGCUUCCCCCUAGGGCAAGCCCUGCCCUCCCUGAGAAGCUCAGCAAGGUGUGUCAUCGCCACCCUCCCCAAAGCCUGGGCCAGUUUAGGCUGCGUUCAGUCUCUAAGGCUUCCUCACCGGGUAAGGAGCAGAACCCAGCUGGGCAGGAGGAUGGGCCGGGAGGGCCCCGCACAUCCGGAGCAACAGCACAGACUCCUGCUGGCUCUGGUUGCCAGCCUCCUCCUCACUUGUGGGCCAGGCAAAACGAAGUCUUCACCUACCAAUGACAAAAGUACCAGAAAUUCUCAAACUGAGUUUUCGAUCAUGAAAAACACCCAAAAUUUGAUCACGACGUCCAUGGGAAAAAGUCAACACUCCAAAAGUGAGGCAUCCACGCCGACACUAGGUAAAACGCCACGGACCGUGACAACCAUGACGGGCAGCCUAGGGGGCAGCACACCUCCCCGUGAGGCAAGCUCUCUGGGCCCCACGGCCCGGCCGACAAAGC